GUUUCUGCUUUUGGGGUCUCUACUGGGAGAUACCGUUCCACAGAUACAGUGUGCAGAGAUUUUGCUUGUGGAAAACUUGCAAAUGGCAGCUUUGGUGCCCCAUGAAGACUUGCCACUAUAUUACAUCUACUAAAUUGCCA